GUAGAGGACGCAGACAGUCUGCCUGCGCGGUUCUACAGUACAUUUUGGCAUCUGUGGACCAGCUGUGGAAGCGAAGGUAUCCCACGCAUGCGCACUUGAAAAAUUGCUCACUGACUGAGCAAGCGGCAGUUCAUAAAAAUGAAAUACCUACAGCAGCAGUUAAAUUGAAUGUCUUUCUGUGUUGGGGAGAUGAAAAAAAAGAACGGAAAUGCCACAGUAAAGGUCUUGGCAGACGUCAGGAAAAAAACAUUGGCCAGUUAGAGGAAAGUGAGAAAGACAAGAUCUUCAUGGCAAUCAAAAACCCUCCAAUGUGGCUGAAUUACAACAAUUCCGCAAUGAUGAGUGGGCCAAAAUUCCUCCACAGCGCUGUAAAAGACUCAUUGCAAGCUAUCG